UGCAUGACCUUAGCUGGUAAAUACUUGUAAUCUAUGAUCUAUACUGAAACACAUCACUACUAAUACUGCACAUUGCUAGAUGAAAGCUGGCUGAGGUGUGCCUACCCAUCCCAUGGUCACAUUUCACAGUUACUGCGUAGGCAUAGCUUGAGUGAAAAUACACAGCAGCUUUGUGGGAGGACAACAAACUGAACACAGGAAUUGCCUGUCACCAGAGAGCAGAUUCCUUGCUGCUUCUGCCUGCAGAUUUUAGCAUCACUUCAGCUCUUACUCAGAGAGGAAAUUUGAUCUGCUAUAACACGGAAACAUCAGCAGUGACCAUGGCGGGACAAAUUCCUUAGGGAGCUGCCUAUUUUCAAGCCAAGUGUUCAUGAUAUGAUCAAGCUAGCUUACAGAGAA
rnacentral:lncRNA from 1 species